rnacentral:lncRNA from 1 species
AAAGCAGAAGCAAGCAUGAUCUCCUCAAUCAAGCAGCUUUGAGUCUCAUGGGAGAUACAGAUACAAAAUUAUUACAGCACAAGGACACAAGAUAUGGAUGUGACAGUUGGCACUACAGGUCUCUCCAAAAGUAGGAAGUGCAAGGGCACAUGUGGAGCUGCCUAAAGUUUGCACAGAGAUAUUGCUCCAGAAACAGAAACCACACAGAAUUCCGCAGGCAUCUGAGCCUGGAGCAGCCUCAGCUGGGUGCCAUUUUGACCCCAGAUACUGGAGAUUUACAGACAUGGUUGCAGCCAUUGCACUGCUCCAAGGAGAGAGAAAGGAAAAUGGGUGCACUCAUGCACACUCAGGCAGGGACUUGCUCCCCUGCUACAAUCAUCUGUUGAGACUGAGACUCAAGUGGACCACACUUCCCACAGCUUCUUGCUCAUGCUGCCAGCCUGGGUGGUCCCUGGCUCUCUCUGGUCCCAAGCCCAAGGCUCUAUUUUGAGAGUUUAACUCUGGACUGUCCCCUAUCUUCAGCCUGAGCUCAGGCUGAUGCAGCUGCAACCACUGCCUGGCUAAGGAGGGACAGGGAGACCAGGUCAUCCUACUCAUAUCUAGGACGAUACUCACUGCUCUGCAACAGGCUGCUGUGAAACUGGCUGACAUGUGAGUGAACCACACUCCCCACAGCUUCUUGCCCAUACUGCUUGCCGGAGCAUUGCCCCAUUCUCCCUGGAUGUAAGCCCAAGGCAUCCUUUUGAGAGUUUAAUUCUAAGCUGCAUCUCACCAUCGCCAUGAGUAAACUAUGCAUUGGACCAAGGACUAAUAUCCAGAAUCUAUAAAGAA